rnacentral:rRNA from 1 species
GACGAACCGUGCGAACGUUAUUCGGAUUCACUGGGCUUAAAGGGCGCGUAGGCGGGCUCGCCAGUCCGGGGUGAAAUCUUUCGGCUUAACCGGAAAAGUGCCUCGGAUACUGCGGGCCUUGAGGGAGGUAGGGGCAUGUGGAACUUCCGGUGGAGCGGUGAAAUGCGUUGAUAUCCACAGGAACUCCGGUGGCGAAGGCGGCACGCUGGACCCCCACUGACCGCUGAGGCGCGAAAGCCAGG